rnacentral:miRNA from 1 species
ACGGGCGGGCCAAAACCAAGCCAC